GGUGUUUUUAUAUUUCCAAAACCUUUAAAAUAGUUACAUGGAUUUCAGUCGUUUCGCCAGCAUUUAAUUUAAGUACCAACGAUUAGUUCGCUCGAGCCACUGCUCGAAACUAGCGUUUGUCCUGUCGUUUGCGACAACUUAAAAGUGUGUUUGCGCAAUAAGUUGUUUUGGUGGAUAAAGGUCUAGAACUUUACCGCGUUUGGAAACUAUUUCGUGUUCACGUUCCGUAGUUCACAUCAAUCACUCACUAUACAUCAAAACCAUUUGAAUUCAUUUUUAAACGGGGCUUCUAUGUUGUUGAUAUUUUUUUUUGGUUUGUUUUUGUUUUGAAAUCUGUACGGCCCUGGACAACCAAGUCCUUAUCAUGGUAACCGAAGUCUUGGUUUUCCAGUAUUUGCCAGUAUGGACAGCCUGGAUAUUUUUCUGCACUGUUUUUGUUGUGUCUAAUAAGUGCUCAUAAAAACAACAGGCCAACUAAUUUGAACUACAUGCGAAAGAUCAGUACUUUAGCCUGAGUUGUCAUUGAAGUGUUUUGGCCUGACAUUUUGUUGAGUGGAAUUUUUUGGCAAGCUUGAUGGAACCACUUCUUGCAAUUGGUGCAUUCUGCCAUCUGGUCUUUGGUUGGAUUGUAUGGGAGGCGGCAGUCACAGUACACUGGCAUGGCAACAGUCUCUUCAUAACCAAUGCUUGAUUUUUCCUCAAAGGGGAAUAUACCAAUGUAUCCAUUUUUAAGGGAAUCUAAGAGAUGUGCCCUUAUUGCCCGCCUGUUGAACUUAAGUGAUGUGGGGUCCAUAUUAUGGCAGAGUGCUGUGGCAAAUGCAAUCACAAAAACUCCACAGUCUGUCCCAUUUGUUUGCUGGUCAACAGGAGGGACACAAAUUUCAAUAACAUUGCUGUCUUGGUUGAAAAGAAGGGCACCAAUCUGCUCUCUGGUGAAUGGCGCAAUUCCACUAUAAAGACUGUCAUAGAGUUUCACUUGGUUGUUGUGGCUGCAUCCAAUAUUACUGACACAAACCCAGUGAUUACCACCAGUGUGUAGCACUUGAAUGAAGCUGUUCCGCAUCACUGGAAACUGUUCUGCCUUCCCAAUUGUUGGAGACAGCAGCCCCUCGAUAUAAGGAAAUUGGCGAUGCAACAGUUCUUGGGCCAUUUGUAUUUGAAGAUCUGAAUGCAUCUGCCUCAUGCUUUCCACCACUUUCUAGGAGAUCCUCAGCCUGGUUGCGUGUAAUUUGUAAUUGCUGACAACAUAGGG